rnacentral:rRNA from 2 species
GUACCCUGGUAGUCCACGCUGUAAACGAUGUCGACUUGGAGGUUGUUCCCUUGAGGAGUGGCUUCCGGAGCUAACGCGUUAAGUCGACCGCCUGGGGAGUACGGCCGCAAGGUUAAAACUCAAAUGAAUUGACGGGGGCCCGCACAAGCGGUGGAGCAUGUGGUUUAAUUCGAUGCAACGCGAAGAACCUUACCUACUCUUGACAUCCAGAGAACUUAGCAGAGAUGCUUUGGUGCCUUCGGGAACUCUGAGACAGGUGCUGCAUGGCUGUCGUCAGCUCGUGUUGUGAAAUGUUGGGUUAAGUCCCGCAACGAGCGCAACCCUUAUCCUUUGUUGCCAGCGGUUCGGCCGGGAACUCAAAGGAGACUGCCAGUGAUAAACUGGAGGAAGGUGGGGAUGACGUCAAGUCAUCAUGGCCCUUACGAGUAGGGCUACACACGUGCUACAAUGGCAUAUACAAAGAGAAGCGACCUCGCGAGAGCAAGCGGACCUCAUAAAGUAUGUCGUAGUCCGGAUCGGAGUCUGCAACUCGACUCCGUGAAGUCGGAAUCGCUAGUAAUCGUGGAUCAGAAUGCCACGGUGAAUACGUUCCCGGGCCUUGUACACACCGCCCGUCACACCAUGGGAGUGGGUUGCAAAAGAAGUAGGUAGCUUAACCUU